rnacentral:rRNA from 1 species
CAAUAGCGUGUGUUAAAGUUGUUGCAGUUAAAAAGCUCGUAGUUGGAUUUCUGGUGGGAGCGAUCGGUCUGGCGCUUAGCGCGAGUACUUGCAUCGUCUCCGGCCAUCCUUGGGGAGAGUCUGUCUGGCAUUAGGUUGUCGGGCAGAGGAUCCUCAUCGUUUACUGUGAAAAAAUUAGAGUGUUCAAAGCAGGCUUAUGCCGUUGAAUACAUUAGCAUGGAAUAAUAAGAUAGGACUUUGGCACUAUUUUGUUGGUUUGCGCACCAAAGUAAUGAUUAAUAGGGACAGUUGGGGGUAUUCGUAUUCCGUUGUCAGAGGUGAAAUUCUUGGAUUUACGGAAGACGAACUACUGCGAAAGCAUUUACCAAGGAUGUUUNCAUUA